CUAGGGGCUGUGCUAUAUAUCUAAAAAUGGCUGCAAUAAAGUUUGGACCUCAGUUGAAAGAGUUACGAAUUCUUUUAUGUCAAACCUCGAAAUCUAGUCAAGGUGUCAGAGACUUUAUCAAACAACAAUACGUGCCGCUUAAAAGAAGUAAUCCACAAUUUCCAGUUUUAAUUAGGGAAUGUUCUGACACGGAACCCGUUUUAUAUGCACGAUAUGAACUUGGGGUAGAACAUCGUGUGUCUCUACAAAAUCUAAAAUCUGAAGAAAUAUUGAAAUGUAUCCAAGAACUAGCAACCAGUAAACCAAAAUAAUAUAUCUGAUAUAUUAGUAUGUAUACUUCUCUGACACACCCCUGCGGGAGUACCGUGGGACACCGUGAGACAUCGUGGGACAUCGCAAGAACAUCGUGGUAUAGAUUAUCAAGAUGAAGAAAGAAUUAUCCGGCCGGAAGUUGAAGCAAACAACUUUUUGACACGAAAACAAUAUUCCACGCAACAAAACAACGAAUUUGAUAGCAGUAACGUUUUUUUCCAAUACUAAAUUCGACAUGCAGAGUUGGAAGGAAAUGUUUACUGGUAUAUUGUACUAAUAUUGGACCUUUAUGUACAUUGGCAUGACAUUUUCAUAAAAUUAUUUACUGUACCAAGUAUUUGUGGGAAAAGAAACAUAACUUUGUUAGUAUGUUUCUAUACAAUCAGUGGAGGAAUACCUAUUAUUUUGUGAGAGAUAAGUGCGUUAUAGUUAUAGUUUUAAGUCAAAUUUUAAAGAAACAUUAAAACGUGAAUUUCAAUAUGACAAGUUAUCGUAAUUAAUGUUAUUGUAAAUUACAUAAUAUGAUGGAAACAUACAGUGAGAAAAAUAUGUUUUCACUUUUUGUUAAUGAAAUUGUUAUAUUUACUUCAUAUUGAUUCACCUGUAAGCACAUUAACUAUAGUUAAAGGCUUAUCGACUAACAACUCACGUUUUAAAAAUAAUGUACUCCUUUAAUGAUUGUUUAAUAAUUGUAUAUUCAUAGAUUUAUGCUUACAAGAUCUUCAACUCUCGGUAAUAAUGACCAUAUUUGUAGUAAAGGUUCCGUAUCCAAAAGCUACUGAUAAAUGUUUAUAGUUUCAUAGUCACAUAUAGUUAUUAUAUUAUAUAUGCAUAGAGCGUUAAAAGAAUGUAUUUUUUUUAUAAUCUCCACCUAAAUUGUACGCUAUGAAUAGGAGGAAAUGUAAUUUUUAAACAGUAACAUGUAAA